AUGGACUGUGUGAUCAGCUGGGUUUUCAUCGUGGCUGAUUUCAAAUGUGUGCAGUGUGAGGUGCAGCUGGUGGAGUCUGGGGGAGGCCUGGUGCAGCCCGGGGUGUCCCUGCGACUCCCCUGUGCAGCCUCUGGAUUCACCUUCAGUACCUACUGGAUGAGCUGGGUCCGCCAGGCUCCAGGGAAGGGGCUGGAGUGUGUUGCUCUCAUAAGACACAAAACUUACAGUAACACCACUGAAUGUGGAGCAUCUGUAAAAGGCCGAUUCACAGUCUCCAGAGUCAAUGCAAAGAACAUGCGCUACCUGCAAAUGAGCAGCCUGAGAGCCGAGGACAUGGUCACUUGUUACUCUGCCAGAGACAUAGUGAGGGGACCUCAGUUGCUGCUCUACCUGGGCCUCCACCCAGAGCUGCUAUAG